AUCCAGUUGAUGUAUUCCAAAUAGGACGAAACACGCAUCCUGGAU
rnacentral:hammerhead_ribozyme from 1 species